UUUACUGGCAAAUAGUACUUCAAGAGCACAGUCUUAUGUGAGAAGUACAGUCUAUAUAAAGACUGUCCAGGACAAAAACUGGCCACUCCAUUCAGCAUUGACAGCAGUAUUUAAAGCUGGUGCAUGGUAAGGUGAAGUUUCUCAAGGGCAAAGACAAUGCCUUCAUGCAUGUUCAUUGUCUGCUCCCGUGGGCUUUGAAAUGAGCGCUGACAAUGGGGAAUCUGCAGUGACUUCUCUGCCUCUGCCAAAGCCCAGGGGUGCUGCUCCCUAAUUCUAAGGAUUCUAAUGAGACUCAGAGCAGGUGUAACACAGGGCAUGGAGCUUCCUGAGAAAGAGGCUGGCUAACAAACUGUGGACGUGGUACUUAGAUGCAUUAAGAGACAUUAUGGGGACACAAGCAAGUAUGUCUCCCUGGGGAGAAGCCAAGUGCAGAUGCUAUGGCCACAGAUGAUAUCUUUUGGCUCUGUGUCCCCACUCAAAUCUCAUCUCAAGUUGUAAUCUCUGGAUGUCGAGGCAGGGACCUGGUGGGAGGUGAUUGGAUUGGUUCGCAUGAUAGUGAGGGAGUUCUCACGAGAUCUGGUUGUUUGAUAAGUGUUUGGCAUUUCUCCUGUGCUGUCUCUCCUGACACCUUGUGAAGAAGGUGCCUGCUUCUCCUUCGCCUUCCGCCAUGAUUGUACGUUUCCUGAGGCCUCCCUAGCAAUGCAGAACUGUGAGUCAAUUAAACCUCCUUUCUUUAUAAA